rnacentral:rRNA from 1 species
GACGAACGCUGGCGGCGUGCUUAACACAUGCAAGUCGAACGGAAAGGCCCUGCUUUUGUGGGGUGCUCGAGUGGCGAACGGGUGAGUAACACGUGAGUAACCUGCCCUUGACUUUGGGAUAACUUCAGGAAACUGGGGCUAAUACCGGAUAGGAGCUCCUGCUGCAUGGUGGGGGUUGGAAAGUUUCGGCGGUUGGGGAUGGACUCGCGGCUUAUCAGCUUGUUGGUGGGGUAGUGGCUUACCAAGGCUUUGACGGGUAGCCGGCCUGAGAGGGUGACCGGCCACAUUGGGACUGAGAUACGGCACAGACUCCUACGGGAGGCAGAAGUGGGAAAUAUUGCACAAUGGGCGGAAGCCUGAUGCAGCAACGCCGCGUGCGGGAUGACGGCCUUCGGGUUGUAAACCGCUUUCGCCUGUGACGAAGCGUGAGUGACGGUAAUGGGUAAAGAAGCACCGGCUAACUACGUG